rnacentral:snRNA from 1 species
GUGUACGUCUUGCCAAUAGGC